UAGAAAGACCACUUCGCGGGAGAUAGAAAGACUACGACCUAGAGGACGAUGACGACGACCUAGGUGGCGACGACGAUGACGACCUAGGUGGCCACCGACGACGAAGAAGACCACCGGUGACCAUUGACCACCGUCUCCCACUCCCUAAUUCCUCCGGUUUCUCUGAAAAUUUUGGCUCCACCCACCAACAACGAACUGAUUCGUGGGUCACUACUGGCACAAGGUGGCCUAAUGCAAAUGGUGGACAAUAUUGGAAGCGCAUCUCUUAGUCAUUCAAGAAUGGUGAACAAUAUAAGCAGUCAAAGUGGAUCAAUUGCUUCAAAAUUUGUCAACUUGAAUAUAAAUGUGGAUCCAAAUGCCCCUUUUUAUUUUUAGUUUUUAGUAGUAAUUUUAUGACCUUGUUUUGUAAACUUUGGAUACUUUGGUUUGUUUAGGAUCCAAUCAAGUGAUUUUGGCAUUAAACAAUAUAUUUUGGAAGGUGACUUAUUAUUCUCUUGGGUGUUUGGAUGAUGUUGAUAUGGUUUUAUAUUGGCUUAAUUCAAUUUUGGUUCCAGCUUAA